rnacentral:lncRNA from 1 species
GUGAAAGAUAUUUAAACGGGUCAAUCCUAUGACUCGAGCCAGGUGAAUAUCAGGAGUACCGGAUGAAGAUCAAGCUCAACGUAGAACCGAACACGAUGCAGUCACAAGCUUCCGCGUAUAGUUUAGUUGUUAUUUCAAAACAACAAAUUUUUACCGGUCAUGAUGUAACGUUAUAAAAUUUAGAAAAGUUUUAAUUAACUUGUAUUUUCAAUUGAUAU